rnacentral:lncRNA from 1 species
GUAGAAAAAGAGAGCGUCAAUUCAAGUCUACAAAAAAAAUUAGUGUUCAAUCAUUAUGAAUUUGUAUAGACAUUGAGUAUAACUUGUACAAACAAAUACAUUCCCACGCCUCAUCACUAAAACUUCCCCUUAAACAUACAGACACCGUAUUCAUCCAUCAGCUGUCGAUUUAUUUAUUCCUCCUUGUUAUUAAUGUUUUGAACGCACACUGAUUAACUCUUGUUCAACCCAGAACAAUUUUCUUUCACGAGAAGAAAGAUUCUGCAACAAUUGGAAAGGAUUCAGCAAAAUACAAAUAGAUCGGGGGCUUUAUAACAUAUAGAUCGAUCCGGACCGAAUGUCUGUUUAUAUUUCUGUCCAACAAAAAUUAAAAUGGUUUCAUACUAGUCUAUGAUUUUCUACGCAACAUUGAAAUAUACACGCAAAUGAUAGAACCAUAGACCCUUCAAUCGCAUAAUUAGGAUUUGACAUUUAAAUCAAUACUCUUGAGCACUUGUAUUACCAAGCUUAGAGUAUAUGUUACAGAAUAUACAAAAUCCCAAAUGUUCCAAUGAAUAUACAUAAAUUUGUGGAACGUGAACACAAAAAAAAAAUCAUGAACCAAAAUUGAUUUUUUGUUUUUUUAAAUCAAAUUAAAUUACAGCCCAAUAUUUGAUUAACAUAUUCUGGGCACUAUUUAUAGGCAUUGUAUUCAAAUUUCUAGAACCGUUUAAGAUACCAAAAGAAAUUAACUAAAGUUUAGAGCUUUAAACUCCGAAAUGGACUUUCAAAAAGAAUCUAUCAAUUCCUAAUUAUUUCAUUUUAAUAAUGAGCCUUCACUCCUUGAAGGAAUGUUUUUGGACCUUCAAACGAUAACACAAAUAUGAUCCGUUUUUGAAGCAAUCAAAAAUGGAGUAUGAACAAUGUACAUCUGUUUGUCUCAUGAGAGCACUCCAUCCCUUCCUUUUUAUUCAUAUUCACUUCAAUUGUUAUUGUUUCCUUAAAAAAUAUACUUAAGGACA